ACUACAUAUCAAUAAGCGGAGGAAAAGAAACUAACAAGGAUUCCCCUAGUAACUGCGAGUGAAGCGGGAAAAGCUCAAAUUUAAAAUCUGAUGGUCUUUGGCCGUCCGAGUUGUAAUUUAGAGAAGCGUCUUCCGCGCUGGACCGUGCACAAGUCUCCUGGAAUGGAGCGUCAUAGAGGGUGAGAAUCCCGUCUUUGGCACGGACACACCAGGGCUUUUGUGAUGCGCUCUCGAAGAGUCGAGUUGUUUGGGAAUGCAGCUCAAAAUGGGUGGUGAACUCCAUCUAAAGCUAAAUAUUGGCGAGAGACCGAUAGCGAACAAGUACCGUGAGGGAAAGAUGAAAAGCACUUUGGAAAGAGAGUGAAACAGUACGUGAAAUUGUUGAAAGGGAAACGCUUGAAGUCAGUCGCGUCGACCGAGACUCAGCCUUGCCUUGGCUUGGUGUACUUCUCGGCUGACGGGUCAGCAUCAAUUUUGCCCCUUGGAUAAUGGCGAGGGAAAUGUGACACCUUUGCGGUGUGUUAUAGUCCCUCGUCGCAUGCAAGGGUUGGGAUUGAGGAACUCAGCACGCGCCUUUGGGCGUCGGGGCUUUGCCCACGAUACGUGCUUAGGAUGUUGGCGUAAUGGCUUUAAACGACCCGUCUUGAAACACGGACCAAGGAGUCUAACAUGCCUGCGAGUGUUCGGGUGGAAAACCCGUGCGCGCAAUGAAAGUGAAAGUUGGGACCUCUGUCGUGGAGGGCACCGACGCCCGGACCAGACCUUCUGUGACGGCUCUGCGGUAGAGCAUGUAUGUUAGGACCCGAAAGAUGGUGAACUAUGCCUGAAUAGGGUGAAGCCAGAGGAAACUCUGGUGGAGGCUCGUAGCGAUUCUGACGUGCAAAUCGAUCGUCAAAUUUGGGUAUAGGGGCGAAAGACUAAUCGAACCAUCUAGUAGCUGGUCCUGUCGUUCCCUCCUCACUCAACCACGAGGGAGGAAAA
rnacentral:rRNA from 1 species